AUGGAGAUGGACAUGGAUUCGAUGUCAGAUUUUUCCGAUUGGUCGUCUUCGGACAAUUCAGACAUCGAGGAGCUGCUACAAGACGAUGACACGGAGAUGAUGGUCGCCAUUCUUGUCGUGAAAGAUCUUGAGGACCGCGAGAAGCUACUGGAUCAGAGGAAGGGGUCGCAGAUAGGGCGCCUUUGCAUUGAGAGGAACCACGCACUCGGGCACGAGCAACUCAUGCAAGACUACUUUGCAGAGGUGCAGACAUACCCACCUCGCCUCUUCCGUAGAAGGUACCGCAUGCGCCGUACUUUGUUUGAGAGAAUCGUCAAAGAUUGCGAGGCCAACUCGCAUUAUUUUCACGCGCCGUAG
rnacentral:rRNA from 1 species